AAUGAACGCUGGCGGCAGGCCUAACACAUGCAAGUCGAGCGAGCGGCGGACGGGUGAGUAAUGUAUGGGGACUGCCCGAUAGAGGGGGAUAACUACUGGAAACGGUAGCUAAUACCGCAUACUAUCGGAUAACCCAUAUGGGAUUAGCUAGUAGGUGAGGUAAUGGCUCACCUAGGCGACGAUCCCUAGCGGGUCUGAGAGGAUGAUCAGCCAAACUGGGACUGAGACACGGACCAGACUCCUACGGAGGCAGCAGUGGGGAAGAGUGCGAAAUGGGCGCAAGCCUGAUGCAGCCAUGCUGCGUGUAGGAAGAGGCCCCUAGGGUUGUAAAGUACUUUCAGUCGGGAGGCGUUACCGACAGAAGAAGCACCGGCUAACGCCGUGCUAGCAGCCGCGGUAAUUC
rnacentral:rRNA from 1 species